rnacentral:misc_RNA from 1 species
AAAAAUUCGAAAGUUCCUACUUCCCCAGACAUCAUUGUCAUCGAUAUGGUAAGACAUUAAGCAACACCUUAUCCAGGGUGGAUUUCUAAAAUGAUCAUUCAUUUCACUAUCAUCAUCGCCUUCAGAAGUUCCAAGCAACAAAUUCCUCUUUUUUGUUAAUGUAUAAACAGAGGGGUAGCCGUCAAAAAACUUUUCCGCAUCCUCUUUAUACAGAUAUGCAUGGAUUCUUGUAGUUGGAUCCUCUAGGGUCAACCUGAUCCUAUAAACCCCAGAAGGGGAACGGAAAUGUUCAGCUAGCCAAGGAAAUGCCGCUACCACUCGAACUACACAGUGGAAUUUACCUAUGACCUUUGGAUUAGCCAGAGCUCUCAUCAAGGAGACAAAAGGUACAUUAGGGUAGUCAGUCUCUGUUAUGUCAGAUGGCCAAGGAAAGCUUGACGAAGGCAUCCAUCCCAAUUUGGAUUUACGACGCUCAUCGUACUG